rnacentral:lncRNA from 1 species
UUCUUUACACGUUGCUCACACAUGGUAUUUCUUCUACAGAUUUCUGGCCUUCCACCGACUUCCCGACACCUUUUCACUUUCCUUCCCUUCCAUAACUCAUUCACUCCUUCCUCGAAUACCCCUCUCCCACCGUCUAUUCAAAAACCCUAUUAUCGCUCCUUUCACCUCCACUCAUAUCCGUUGUCGUCCUCCGGUGACUUCCCGUUUUCCAUUCCCGAUUCCCUCAAUUAGGGUUGGGUUUGUUGUCGUUGUUUCCAAUCUUCUACCGCCUCAUAUCUCUAUUCUUCUUUUCACCGCCUUCGUUUUUCUUCCCACUUCCAUCUACAAUACCAGAGGCAGAAGUCGAUGUUCAUCGCCAAUGCCACCGGUUGAUGUUUCUGGUCUAAAUCGAUGUCACUAUUCUUCCAAUCUUUUUCGAUUCUAGGGUUCAGGCGAAACAGUGACAGACCGAAGGACAAGAAAGCGGCAUGUCGGCCCAGCCAACGGCGGCUCCACCGCCUAUUUUGUUUAUCUGGGUUUCCAACGACUAUGGGGUUGGUGAAUCGGACACCUGAUUUUGGUUUUUUAAUUUAGAUGAAUUUUUCUACGGAUUCGUUGCAGCUCAACAAUCCUCGGUUUGUUGUCGAUUUUGCGUCCUCUGCGUUCCCUCUGUUCCAAGAUCCACCAUAUCAUUAUCUCCGGAGGAAUGGACUGCACCUUAAACAAUCAGACGGUGCCACCCUUCCCAAGAAAUCCAACUCUCAGGUAUCAGUUGCUGCAUGUGCUUCCCACCGUUAUCUUUUUUUCUUAUAUAAAACCUAUUUCGAGCGGUGCUUUCUUCUGAUAUUCAUCAGUUCCAUGUGAAUGUUCUUGGUAGGUGUUUCCUAUUUAACAAUCAUGACAUUUCCUCUUCUAAUUUUGGAUAAACCUGCUCUGUGAAAAAUCUAAUUUGGGGCUUAUUACAUUGUUUUUGUUGUUCAAAUCUGACAUGUUUGAAGAUGCACAUCAAGUGCUUGGUGAAAUUCUUCAAAGAACCGAUAAGAUUACUUUUUCAGCAUCGACUACACAACCUUCUUACUCAUGGUGUUUCAUAUAACUUUUUAGUGGUUUACGUUUGACUUUGGAGGGUAGUAUUGGAAAGCAAGACGGGUAACUGUUCAAACAAUUAGAAUUCAGGAAAAACAUGUUUCAAAGUCAAACUUUUACUCAUAUAAAUUCACUCUCAACUUCAUGAACGACUGCUCAAUCGAUCGUCCUCCAUUUAUCAAUUACUUACUUUUUGUGUUUUUUUUUUUUAUUUCUUGGGUUUUUUUAAACUUAUUCAACAAAAAUAUAAGAAGUUAAAAAAGACUUCUUUUAUUGAGAUUUCUUCCUUUACUCAUUCCUGACUUUGACUUUAUUCACAUUAUUUGUCAAUAUUUCAGGCUACAUACUCCCCCCUGGAACUUAUAUCAAGAGCUGAGUUCAAGUUUAUCAAGUUCAGCAUCAACUAUUUUCUAUAUUUUUUCGUAUUUCAACAUGCAACUUACAACUCUCCUACAGCAAAUGACUUAAACCCUUAAAAAAAGGUUUUUUUUGGAAAAGGCCGUUGAUGGAAACAAACCAAAUUAUGGUUCCAAUUUCAAUGUUGACUUAAACCAUAUAAAUAUUUGGGUUUGAAUGAUAAUUAGUUAAUAUGCAUACUUCUUAUAUGAUUUCGGCGAGUUUGAAUAUCUUUUUGAAAUUAUUUUUAGAAUGUUAGUGUCAACAUUCUGAUGGGAUUAUAGCACAAGUUGGUUGUUUUGUUCCUUGUGCUAAAACUUCCAUUUUUAUCCAUAGCUGUAUUUUUGCUCCUAUUAUGUCUGUUAAAUUCCCUUUUUUACAAAAUUUAAUUUAGUAGUGCAUCACUUUACUCUAAAAUAAAUAGGGAUCUUUAUGCUCAUUGUUCCUAAAUGAAAUCCCUUAAUGGUUGUGUUUUAUUAUUAUAAUUAAAGUGUUAUUAUGAGUUAUUUGUUUCUACAUAAAGGGUUGCAGUAAUUGUUAUCUAAAAUUUGCGGUUUAUUCUGAAAUGGACUAAAUUGCCCCUAUGUUUGCUUUUGGUUUGUUUGUUGGUGCACUUGAGAGUAUAUUUCCUCUUUUUCUUUCUUGCCCAAUUUUACAUUGAUAUUGUUAAGGGGCUCAACAAAUUUGGUAUUCAAGGAUCAUAGGAUGAUAUGAUACCAUUAUCAUGGCUGAUAACAUAACUCAUUUUUUAUGUAAAGAAAUAUAAGUACAUUGGUAUUAUGAGAAAAGUGUUGUAAUGUUGUUGCAGUUAUGUGUAUACAAAUGUAAGUCCAUUGUUGCUAUGGGUAAAAAAAAG